rnacentral:rRNA from 1 species
ACCACAACGGGUGGAGCCUGCGGUUUAAUUGGACUCAACGCCGGGCAGCUCACCGGAUAAGACAGCUGGAUGAUAGCCGGGCUGAAGACUCUGCUUGACUAGCUGAGAGGAGGUGCAUGGCCGUCGUCAGUUCGUACUGUGAAGCAUCCUGUUAAGUCAGGCAACGAGCGAGACCCACGCCAACAGUUGCCAGCAUGUCCUCCGGGAUGAUGGGGACACUGUUGGGACCGCUCUGCUAAAGAGGAGGAAGGAAUGGGCAACGGUAGGUCAGCAUGCCCCGAAUUAUCCGGGCUACACGCGGGCUACAAUGGUCAGGACAAUGGGUAUCGACACCGAGAGGUGGAGGCAAUCUCCUAAACCUGUCCUUAGUUCGGAUUGUGGGCUGCAACUCGCCCACAUGAAGCUGGAAUCCGUAGUAAUCGCGUUUCAAAAUAGCGCGGUGAAUAUGUCCCUGCUCCUU